rnacentral:rRNA from 1 species
GACGAACGCUGGCGGCGUGCUUAACACAUGCAAGUCGAGCGGUAAGGCCCUUUCGGGGGUACACGAGCGGCGAACGGGUGAGUAACACGUGGGUGACCUGCCCUCAGCUCUGGGAUAAGCCUGGGAAACCGGGUCUAAUACCGGAUAUGACUCCAUGACGCAUGUUGUGGGGUGGAAAGCCUUGUGCGGCUGAGGAUGGGCCCGCGGCCUAUCAGCUUGUUGGUGGGGUGANGGCCUACCAAGGCGACGACGGGUAGCCGGCCUGAGAGGGCGACCGGCCACACUGGGACUGAGACACGGCCCAGACUCCUACGGGAGGCAGCAGGUGGGGAAUCUUGCGCAAGUGGGACGAAAGCCUGACGCAGCGACGCCGCGUGAGGGAU